rnacentral:misc_RNA from 1 species
UUACUGAGUUUACGCUCUACAACCCUUUGUGAACAUACCUAUAACUGUUGCUUCGGCGGGUAGGGUCUCCGUGACCCUCCCGGCCUCCCGCCCCCGGGCGGGUCGGCGCCCGCCGGAGGAUAACCAAACUCUGAUUUAACGACGUUUCUUCUGAGUGGUACAAGCAAAUAAUCAAAACUUUUAACAACGGAUCUCUUGGUUCUGGCAUCGAUGAAGAACGCAGCGAAAUGCGAUAAGUAAUGUGAAUUGCAGAAUUCAGUGAAUCAUCGAAUCUUUGAACGCACAUUGCGCCCGCCAGCAUUCUGGCGGGCAUGCCUGUUCGAGCGUCAUUUCAACCCUCAAGCUCUGCUUGGUGUUGGGGCCCUACAGCUGAUGUAGGCCCUCAAAGGUAGUGGCGGACCCUCCCGGAGCCUCCUUUGCGUAGUAACUUUACGUCUCGCACUGGGAUCCGGAGGGACUCUUGCCGUAAAACCCCCAAUUUUCCAAAGGUUGACCUCGGAUCAGGUAGGAAUACCCGCUGAACUUAAGCAUAUCAAUAAGCGGAGGAAAAGAAACCAACAGGGAUUGCCUCAGUAACGGCGAGUGAAGCGGCAACAGCUCAAAUUUGAAAUCUGGCCCUAGGCCCGAGUUGUAAUUUGCAGAGGAUGCUUUUGGUGCGGUGCCUUCCAAGUUCCCUAGAACGGGACGCCAGAGAGGGUGAGAGCCCCGUACAGUUGGACACCAAGCCUUUGUAAAGCUCCUUCGACGAGUCGAGUAGUUUGGGAAUGCUGCUCAAAAUGGGAGGUAUAUUUCUUCUAAAGCUAAAUACCGGCCAGAGACCGAUAGCGCACAAGUAGAGUGAUCGAAAGAUGAAAAGCACUUUGAAAAGAGGGUUAAACAGCACGUGAAAUUGUUAAAAGGGAAGCGCUUGUGACCAGACUUGCGUCCGGUGAAUCACCCAGCUCUCGCGGCUGGGGCACUUCGCCGGCUCAGGCCAGCAUCAGCUCGCUGUCGGGGACAAAAGCUUCAGGAACGUAGCUCUCUUCGGGGAGUGUUAUAGCCUGUUGCAUAAUACCCUUCGGCGGGCUGAGGUACG